rnacentral:lncRNA from 1 species
CGUUCUACUGGCUGAAGACACUGUCGUAUAUUUUUAUUUAUUUCAGACCACAACAGACCUAGUAACCGGAUUUUCCUCAUGAGACUCAUUGGAGCGUUUCUGUCUUGAUAUCAAUUAACUGCAGUAAAUAGCUGUAAAAUCAAGACGGCAUAGAGGAACGGUAUAAGCGUCCAGGUGCUUAACACAGGAACUCAUUAAGUCUGGACGGAAAUCGCCGUUAUUUCUCUCAUCAAACUUCGAAAAACAUAGGAGCAAGAUUAACAACUGUAACCCAAUACAAAUAUUUGAACAGGAGACGGCAUGCAAGUUUGAGUGUUUCCAACCUCAUAAAAAUGCAUAAUGCUUACCUAUCGGAAGUAAAACUUCAAACGUACGUUAACCAGAUAUUUUUUCUUUAUUAGAUUGGCCAGUGAUUGGCCAAUAUUUAAGCCGCCAUUUUAAAAAAUGGCCGAUGUACACACCUGAAGCUAGCCCCACAGCCCACACCACAGCGCAGGUAAAGCACGUCAUUCCUAAUCGUCCAUGUCUGAGUUUCUUUGUAUGAUUGAAAGCCAGAGGGCGCUUUGAACUACUGAGGCAGAGCCGCAGAGGACAAAGUGAUCACUUAGGCACUUACUUACUCACCAUGUGUCUAACUGAAAGGAAAAGGUGGCCGACGCAUUUAAUAAUGACGGAUCAAAGUGUUACUAUGAGCAAAUAGUAAAAGCAGUUUAAAUUGGUCUCAGAAGCCGAAAACCUAACUUCCGAAGUGGGCCCCGUCAUGCAGGGAAAGCAGAACUACCAGCCAUGAGCCAUGUUACAUGUAACUAGGUCAAACCUUAGAUGUUGAAAUGAGAGGAGGAUAUAUUGCUUGCCAUGUGCAGCUUGCUGUAUCAUUCACUGAUGAAGCCACCUAAAACACUCCCUAAGAAUACAAUAGAAGAAAGGCGUAUUGUCAACAGAUAGUAGACACAGCAGUAACAUAUUUGAGGAUCUAACACUGCUUCCAAAAUUUGAUUGCUUUGUUAUUCCCUCAUCUUUAAGUAGUUGAUAGAAUUUGUUUUGGAACAAAAUAUAUUUUACUUUAUGUUUUUCUAGAUGUGAACCUGAACCUGCCAUUGAUGUUAUAGCCAUGAAGAUGACUGAUGAUCUCCAGGGAUCUUAAUGCACCAUAACUGGAAUUGAUAGACAAACUGAUAGAACAGAAAAAAACCAUGUUCAACAUAAAUUGAUUAGAGACCCUUCGUAUCCGAACUGGGAAAGCUCUGGCGAGUAGAGACCCGUAAAUAUGUUAAUAGAUGUCGGGAUAUCUAACACCCCUUCCAAGUUGACGUCAGCUAGAACAGAAAAACUCACAUUCCACAUGCAUUAGAGUUUAAGUUUGUUUGCGGUCCUUCGAAUACGAACUCGGAAAGCCCUCGGGAGCGGACACACAUAAAUAUCUAUGGGAAGACGUCGGAAUGGACUAAUAGUAGCCUCGUGUUAUUUGGACAACGGUCGUUGACUUUAUGUUUUGACAAAAUGUCACGGUCGGUGAUCCUGCUGCUUAUUGGUUAAUAUCCAGGUAAGAAGGAGUUUCUGGGGAUGUCAGCUAGGAAAUCAAUUGUUACCUACUGAACUGUGGCGUAAAGCAUUUGGCAAUGACUUUUUUGGUAUGGUGAAACAACCGCGGUAAUAAAGUGAAGAAGAUGUUUACAACAUUGUUACAUUUGUUUGAGAAACUUCACUGCUUCGCCAUUUAGUUUGAUCGAAGUGUGGCGUACAGUCAUCUACACAUUCCCCGCUGAAAAGCGAAGAACAGUUCACGCUCUUAGACAACAGGAAAGGAUUAUAUCGCAGGAUUUCCCUUCAGAGCAGUCACUCUCCAUAAGUGAGAUCUGUCAUGUGUUGGCUGAUAAUCUCCCUCAGCUGACUAAAAGUGGGCCUUUCUUUCGGAUCCGAUUUCCAACAAUUGGUCAUAAUUUCUCCAAACAAAUUGGGAAAAAUUUAAAGUCAUUUGUUUCAUUCUCACCUGGAUACGGAACUUUGCCUAAGGUGAAGAGUUCCCAGAGAAGAACUCCGUACGACCAAACGUCAGAUUCGGAGGAAAAAAUGCGAUCGGUUAACGAUUCGAUUGCCAUCCAUUUGACCGGCAUUAAUCCCUGCACAUUAAAACAGAUUUUUACAUCUAUGUAUUGCCAUUCCAAAAUCGGCCAGUUUAACAACCCCAUCGUCGGCUAGCAACACAUUGCGUGCAGCUAAAUCGCCAUGGAGAACCUGAAGAUUGCUCAAGUACGAAAUCAAAUUUUCUCAUCAGACGUAUCGAACCAGAUAGCAAUUUCAACUCUUACUUGUUUGCUAACCAAAUAUUCCAUUCCUCGAGCUAUUUGAAAAGACCAGGAAAUUAAAUCGCAGGUUGAAAUAUAUCGGCCUAAAACGUAAUUAAGUGCUGGUGGCUGGUUCUGAUACAACGGUUGUGUUGGCGGUUGAUAUCGGUUUGCUGAAGCCACCGGUGGCUCCUCUGAACACGAUUGUUUAGAUGCAUAGUCUCACCAGGCCGUUCGGAUGCCGGACGUCUAUCUGACGGAAGCUCGUCGCAUGGAUUGUCUCUUUCGGUUUGGUGCUCGGAUACGUACGGUAUUUCCUUUGUGUCAGAAGCUGAUUUCAUGUUGCCGAAACCAUCUACCAGGUUGAUGAAACUGUUUCGGUGUUUCGACAAGUAAUUUUGCAAGUUACCAAACCGACAGUACUCAACUAUUAUGAAGAGUUCGCCUAUACGCUCCCAGUAAACUGACGACGUUUAGGUGUGAUCCUAAGUAAAUAAGUAUCUUCAUUUCGCUGACAAGAGCUUCCAUGGCAGCCAUGUUGGUGUGAGAUCGAAUCAUUUUAACAGCAACUGUUUUGAUAGUGUCCUCUGAGCCUUUAAUCCCCAUGGCUUCGGCUCGAACGACACGUCCAAAACACCCAGCGCCUAGCUGCGUUCCUGAGGGGGAUAUAAAAGCAACGACGUAUCAUGCAAGGGGAGCAGUUCAGUUUGCUCUUCGAUGGGCAGUUGGCGGUUGAUCUCUUUCACGUUUCCAGCCAGCAGUUUCUUGACUCCUGGGAACACUUGCUGCCUCUGUUACAAUCGAACCGUUUUCAAACAGGCCCAUUCCGGUGGAGAUGGGAACUUGAUCUCAGCGAAAAGUGUGCGACAGAUCAAGGUGACGUUGCUCCCUUCCGGCGGAUCGUCAGGAUCACCCAUUCUAACUCCUGUCCUGCUCCGCAAAAUUUUGCCCAACUGCCACUUGAUCCACUCACAUGGGUUUAACGUCCGCAACAUUUGUGUGUUCGAGAAAUAUAACGGACGGAAAUAUGUAUACGAGCUGUCACCGAGAAAUUUAACGAUCGAAAACACUUCCGGCAAUGUAGUUUAAUAAGGUCUGACGGUAUGCUAGGGUUAUCAUAUCAUGGAUGAUAUUUUAUCCCAUUUGCUACGAGGAAAUUAUUAUUAAAUUAUAGCAGCCUGUCGUGUCCGUUUUAUAAGCCAAGGAGAACGGAUUGGAGCCUGUUAGGAACAAAACACGCAGCCAGUGUUUGAUAAAACUUAUAGCUUACCCCACUGCAAUUUUUUUUUCCCAUCCAAUGGGUGGACGUGAGGAUUUAGUGGAUACUGCCUAAAUACUGGAGAGACCAGGUACAUGGAACAACGACUUGUAAAGUCCUUGGAAGACCUUUGUUGCCAACAUGAUUCAACUGUAAGAAAUUCUUUUAGGGAAAUCAUUUGGAUUGUUAAUGGAGGUGAUGGUUUGGACCCGCCUACAUGGAAGCCAAAGAUUGCCCUAUGAAUUUUCAAUGACCUCUCUACAACAUCAAAGCUGCCCCCCGUAUGUCGAUGAAGAUCUGUCAGAUCACAUUGAAUUACUACAAGCUUUUUAUGCAAUUAUGGAGACAAUCCCUUUAAAUUGCUUGGGGUGGAAUUCAAACAAAAACUUCGAUAAUAAAAGUGGAUUUGGAAAGGAUCCUUACGGGGGCAAGAUACCAAUUUUACACCUUAUUCGUACCUACAUUUCUACUUUUUUAUUUUAAAAGAAUUUUGCCGUAUUGGAGAUGCCAAAGCUAAAAUGUUCUUUUAACAUGGAUAAUUGGGUAUUCAUGUCAUGUCAUGUUUAGUUUUCAUGAAGAAAUCAGACUGGAAGCUUUUCAACUAUAAGACUAAAGAAGGAUUGCAGAGAUAAUUUUUUAAGAAAUUGACGUAAUAAAUCGAAAACGAAGUUUUAGAAUGAGGCUGGAGUUUCUGUCAAUGCUGACGUUUGGAAACACGAUCGGAAAUACCCGUGGAAUGGAAAACAUUCUCUCGUGUUAUGGUAUUUGUCGUACAUAAAUUGAAGUGCAUAUCUGGGCUCCCUUCUUUUCUGUGGCCCCGUUUCCCCUUGACUCAUAAUAAGCCCGUAGGGGGUCAUGCCCCUACUGUACGGUAUAUAUAAAAACAACAUAUAUCGAG